AUGCCAGACUCCUACGGGAGGCAGCAGUGGGGAAUAUUGCACAAUGGGGGAAACCCUGAUGCAGCGACGCCGCGUGAGUGAAGAAGUAUUUCGGUAUGUAAAGCUCUAUCAGCAGGGAAGAAAAUGACGGUACCUGAUUAAGAAGCCCCGGCUAACUACGUGCCAGCAGCCGCGGUAAUACGUAGGGGGCAAGCGUUAUCCGGAUUUACUGGGUGUAAAGGGAGCGUAGACGGCAGCACAAGUCUGGAGUGAAAUGCCGGGGCUUAACCCCGGAACUGCAUUUGGAACUGUGUGGCUGGAGUGUCGGAGAGGCAGGCGGAAUUCCUAGUGUAGCGGUGAAAUGCGUAGAUAUUAGGAGGAACACCAGUGGCGAAGGCGGCCUGCUGGACGAUGACUGACGGUGAGGCGCGAAAGCGUGGGGAGCAAACAGGAUUAGAUACCCCAGUA
rnacentral:rRNA from 1 species